UUCAUGCGCUGACCAGGCUACAUUCAUAGCCACCGCCGCCGAGGCGUACGAACACAACGAAUGAUACCCCUCAGGAUCUAGCGCCUCCCGUGGCGUCUGUCGUCUCACUCCAUGUGCGCGAAGUUUUGUGUGCCGAGGUCUCCGAAGUGCCGUGUAACAGAUGACGAAUCUCAUACCUGUGUUGCAGAAAUGUGAUGAGCCGUGAGUGACACUUCCUAGUUUAGUAUAAUGCAAUUUCGGUACAUGUCAAGUUGUUACAGCCCUUCUACAUUGCGUGUGCUCCGUGUUGUCGUCGGUAAGCCAGAUUCACCUCCAAACUUUCUUGUGCUUUGGUGAAACGGGAGACAGUUGGUACUUUUUGCCAGCAUUCCUAAUGGAAACGACUGCGGCAAGCCAAACUUGAAGAAGCUGCGGAGUACAAGAACUCCAAAGAAAAGAGCCUCAUGCUGGAGAAGUAAGAGUGUCACCACCCAUCAUCAUUCGUUCACCAAAGUAAACACUAUGAAGUGGAUCCACUUGGCUGACAUCUGUGAUGCUCAUACCAUUUACAGAAAUGGGAGGUUCAUGAACAGGGGGAUGAAGAAGGACAACAGGCAGGAAUCAGCAAGCAUUCCUAAAGAUAAGGAGAGUCCAGUUUGUCAUGAACAACAUCAUACAAAAACAGGAAUGCUCUCACAGACUUUGCGCGACCUGAUGUACUGGUACACUCCAAAGAGACAUCAUCUUUGCAUCAAAAUCUGGCUUCGGUGUCCUUUGCGACUAUGUCUGAAACUUCCCUUCUAAUGGAAAACCGAGCCUAUAGAAGAUGUAUCUUACAAGGACACUUCUGAUUCUCUUACCUUCAUGACGUCUAGAAUAGCUGGAAGUUUCUGUGGAACUGAGUUCAGCUGAGAUCUUACGGACCCACUUUUGGCCUCUCCUCGUCGUGCUUGCCUAAUCGACCUCCCUUGGAGGCCUCAGUGCAUCGGGAGGAACAAUGUAACGCGGACACUACUAGUGCUUGUGCAGUGCAGUGUGGAUCACAACUGAAGAUUUUCUAGAAGGGACUUUGUGAUGUAUCACCAUGCCUGGAUGUCUGUGUGCAUUUUGUGCUACUUAUGGGCCAUGUAGAAUCGACAAGGGAGUCGUACACAAGAAUGACAAUACCCAUCAGGGGACACUACCUUCUGCAUGGAAAAUUGCCACCAUAAUCUCCGUCCUGAAACCCGGAAAGGAAGCCUCUUGUCCUGCCAGUUAUCGUCCCAUCGCGCUGACAAGCUGCAUAGGAAAAACCUUCGAGCGAAUGGUGAAUAACCGACUGGUUUAUUUUCUUGAAAUGAAUAAGUGCCUAUCAGAAUUUCAGUGUGGGUUUCGAAUGGGGUG